GAAAUGGACGGCAUGGGGGUGUACUCUCUGUGCCAGUGCAUCCUGUCGGCGGCUGUGGUCGUGGCGAGCGUGAGGUUGUGCAUGGCCGCGAGCGGCAGCGGGGCCGGAUCCCAGGGGGCCACGCUCCAACCCGGCAGCGUCUCAUGCUGUCUCCGCCUGUGCUUGGGCUGGGCGGGCGCCGUCGGGGGCGCAGCCGGGAUCCCCGCGAACGUGUUGCUCAACCAGCGAACCCCGCAGUGUCUGUACACGUGCAUAACCUUGGUGUGUUGCCCCCUGCUGGUCAGGCAGUUCACCAUGUUCCUGUUGAUGCUCCUCACGCUGGAUGGCCACCUGCGGCACCGCUUGGCAGACAGGUACUCCUCGGCGAUGACCCGCCAGCGAGCUCUCUGCCUGGUCCUCCUGUGCUGGGUGGCCUCCGUCCUGUCCUCCUUCUCCCAGUUCAUCGGCUCGGACGUCCUCGACACCUGGAGGAGCCGCGCGACCGACCCGGACACGGCCGGCCUCGGGCUGCACGGCAACUGGACGACGCCGCCGCCUUCGCCCCGCCUUACGUCUUCCCCGCCCCUUAGGUACGACCACGGGCGCAAGGUCAUCGGCAAGUACCUUCCGUACGGGGGCUUCCUGUCAAAGUUUUACGUGGAAGACAUGCACAACUUCACCUACGCCGAGAUUCACAGCAGCCACUGGGGGGUGUGCGCCGCCGACACCGUUCUCAGCCCCCAGUUCUUGAUCUACGUCCACGGGACGACGGCGUUCAUGCUCCCCUUGCUUUGCCUGCUGCUGGUCUACCUGGACCUGUUGUGCGUCAGGCCCGGGAAGACGCCUCUCAGUCACGCAGACCCCACUAAACGUGCGUCGCGGCAGGCGCGUUCCCCGGCGCUGUCCCUUUCCCUUUUAGUCCUCCUGUGCCUGCCGCUCCACAUCGUCCACGCCCUCCUGCUCUUCACCUCAGGCACCAAUCUUCCCGCCUGGGUUCACGCCGUCGCCGUGUUCCUCUUUCAGCUGUACGGCCUCGUGCCCCCGAUCCUCUUCACUCCGCCCGGGAAACGAGUCGGGGGAGAGAGGGCGUCCUUUCCCCUCUCGGUCGCCCCCCUCCCGCCUCCGGGAGCAGCGGCGGCGUCCGGAGGGAAAUCGGUGCGCGCGGCGCUGCGCGAGGCCGUGCGGGCGGCCCCCUGGUCCUCAGCCAAACGCUCCCUGAAAGCCAAAGUCUUCCCAGAGGUCUGAAGUCUUCCCGCUCAAACAAGCGCGCCGUUGUUUUUGUGUUCCCGCCAUGUUUUGUGUGCAUGCGGGUUAAAAAAAAAAAAAAAAAAAAAGGCAAGUGUUUGCAACAGCUUGCGGACUGACGGAGAACAAACACGGCGCGGCGUUUGUUGUCCGCCUGUUGACUAAUCAGCAACCUGGCGCAGACUCCAUGAAUAACUUGUAAAUGAAAAGGCCAGUUAAUUAUCAGGGCCCACACCAAAUGUCAGCGAGAAGUCUCUCGGCGAUGAAAUCCUGAUCGCAGAUGUCUGUUGUCUUUGACUGCCCCCCCCCCCCCUCUCCCCCCCCAGUGGUAUUAUCAUAAGCCCUCUAAGUCUGUGCUAAGCCGACCACCAGCGAUGUAGAUAUGAGUGACAGCGUUUAAUUAAACACUCAGUGAAAUGUGGUCCAGAGAGGACGCGGCGGCGUAGGGAAAACAUCAUUAACCUGGUUAUGACUAUUUGAUUAAACGUGUAAUGAAACGGGCCUCGCUCGCCCCACUUGGAUUGUUCGUCUUGAAACGUGUUGUUUUGAGAAUCCAUCUCCUUCUGCACGGGACAUCGACGUGACAUUUCUCUUUUCUUUUUCUUUUUCAGCUCAUUCUCUCCCUCUCCAA
ensembl:lncRNA